AUGUCCAUGGUCGAUGACAAUUCGAUCUCAACUUCUCGGGCUAUGUUCAAACCAAUGACGAAUAUGGUUCACAUCGAUGAAAAGUGGUUUGACAUGACGAGAGUGAAGAAUAGUUACUAUGUACUUCCAGGAGAACCUGAACCGAAGCGCACCGUGUCAAACACUCACAGCAUUGGGAAAGUAAUGUUCCUAACAGCUGUUGCCAGGCCUCGAUAUAACAAUGAGGGGGAGCUAACAUUCGAUGGGAAGAUCGUCAUUUGGGCAUUCGUCGAAGAGACUGAGGCGAAGCGGACAAGUCGGAACAGAACAAAGGGAACAAAAGUGUUGACAUCAGUGAAAGUAACCAGGCCUGUGUGCAGAGAUUAUCUAAUAAAUAAGGUUAUCCCGGCAAUUCAGGAUAAGUGGCCUGACGAUGAUGAGGGAGCAACAAUAUUCAUCCAACAGGACCAAUGA
rnacentral:rRNA from 1 species